UCAAUUGGCUUUUAAUUUGAGUCUGGAAUGAAAGGAUUUAUGGGGAUUUACUGUUUCAAAUGUAUAACAUUGAAUUUAUUAAAAAAGUGAAAAUACUUUUGUUUUAAAAAAAGACGAGAAGACCCUAAGAAUUUUUAGAAUAUAUUUAUACAAUUAUUUCUUUUUGUUGGGGCGACAAUUAAACAAUUAAACUUUAAUUAUUUUUUAAUCGGUUUUUUCAGUAAAAAAUAAAUUACCUUAGGGAUAACAGCAUAAUUUAAAAAAGUUUGUGACCUCGAUGUUGGACUAGGAACUUUAUAGCUAGCAGUUAAAAAAGAUUGUUCUGUUCGAACAAUAUCUCCUACGUGAUCUGAGUUCAGACCGGA
rnacentral:rRNA from 1 species